rnacentral:rRNA from 1 species
GAUGAACGCUGGCGGCGUGCCUAAUACAUGCAAGUCGAGCGAAUGGAUUAAGAGCUUGCUCUUAUGAAGUUAGCGGCGGACGGGUGAGUAACACGUGGGUAACCUGCCCAUAAGACUGGGAUAACUCCGGGAAACCGGGGCUAAUACCGGAUAACAUUUUGAACCGCAUGGUUCGAAAUUGAAAGGCGGCUUCGGCUGUCACUUAUGGAUGGACCCGCGUCGCAUUAGCUAGUUGGUGAGGUAACGGCUCACCAAGGCAACGAUGCGUAGCCGGCCGGAGAGGGUGAUCGGCCACACUGGGACGGGGACACGGCCCAGACUCCUACGGGAGGCAGCAGUAGGGAAUCUUCCGCAAUGGACGAAAGUCUGACGGAGCAACGCCGGGUGAGUGAUGAAGGCUUUCGGGUCGUAAAACUCUGCUGUUAGGGAAGAACAAGGGCUAGUUGAAUAAGCUGGCACCUUGACGGUACCUAACCAGAAAGCCACGGCUAACUACGUGCCAGCCGCCGCAGUAA